AACGCUGGCGGCGUGCCUAAUACAUGCAAGUCGAGCGAACAGACGAGGAGCUUGCUCCUUUGACGUUAGCGGCGGACGGGUGAGUAACACGUGGGUAACCUACCUAUAAGACUGGGAUAACUUCGGGAAACCGGAGCUAAUACCGGAUAAUAUUUCGAACCGCAUGGUUCGAUAGUGAAAGAUGGCUCUGCUAUCACUUAUAGAUGGACCUGCGCCGUAUUAGCUAGUUGGUAAGGUAACGGCUUACCAAGGCAACGAUACGUAGCCGACCUGAGAGGGUGAUCGGCCACACUGGAACUGAGACACGGUCCAGACUCCUACGGGAGGCAGCAGUAGGGAAUCUUCCGCAAUGGGCGAAAGCCUGACGGAGCAACGCCGCGUGAGUGAUGAAGGUCUUCGGAUCGUAAAACUCUGUUAUUAGGGAAGAACAAACGUGUAAGUAACUGUGCACGUCUUGACGGUACCUAAUCAGAAAGCCACGGCUAACUACGUGCCAGCAGCCGCGGUAAUACGUAGGUGGCAAGCGUUAUCCGGAAUUAUUGGGCGUAAAGCGCGCGUAGGCGGUUUUUUAAGUCUGAUGUGAAAGCCCACGGCUCAACCGUGGAGGGUCAUUGGAAACUGGAAAACUUGAGUGCAGAAGAGGAAAGUGGAAUUCCAUGUGUAGCGGUGAAAUGCGCAGAGAUAUGGAGGAACACCAGUGGCGAAGGCGACUUUCUGGUCUGUAACUGACGCUGAUGUGCGAAAGCGUGGGGAUCAAACAGGAUUAGAUACCCUGGUAGUCCACGCCGUAAACGAUGAGUGCUAAGUGUUAGGGGGUUUCCGCCCCUUAGUGCUGCAGCUAACGCAUUAAGCACUCCGCCUGGGGAGUACGACCGCAAGGUUGAA
rnacentral:rRNA from 1 species